GUAGCAUGGCAGUAAGACUGUGGGGGAUAAGCUUCAUAGUCGAAAGGGAAACAGCCCCAGCCCUGCAGCUAAGGUGCCAAAAUACCGCUCAGUGGAAAGGAAGUGAGAUUUCUUUGACAGUGAGGAUGUUGGCUUAGAAGCAGCCACCAUUUAAACAGUGCGUAAUAGCUGACUCAUCGAGAGAUCUCGCGCCGAAAAUGAUUGGCGAUAAGCGGUAUACCGAAGCUCUGGAUUGUAUCGGCUACGGUCGGUGCAGUGGUAGGGGAGCGUUCUGAACACGUCGAAGCACGAAGGUGACUGACUGUGGAGCGUUCAGAAGUGAGGAUGCAGACAUAAGUAACGUUAAGGGCGGUGAAAUCCCGCCCCGCCGUAAACCAAGGUUCCUGGGCAACGAUCUUCGUCCCAGGGUUAGUCGGGAGCUAAGUCAAGGCCGAAUGGCGUCGGCGAUGGCACAUUGGGUUAAUAUUCCCAAACCGGCUAUGGUUAAACCACACGUGCGCGGAAAUUGA
rnacentral:rRNA from 1 species